UACGUAGGCAGCAAGCGUUGUUCGGAGUUACUGGGCGUAAAGGGUGCGUAGGCGGCUUCUUAAGUCUGGUGUGAAAUCUCCCGGCUCAACUGGGAGGGUGCGCCGGAUACUGAGGGGCUAGAGUGUGGGAGAGGAAAGUGGAAUUCCCGGUGUAGCGGUGAAAUGCGUAGAGAUCGGGAGGAAGGCCGGUGGCGAAGGCGGCGCUCUGGAACGUUUCUGACACUGAGGCUCGAAAGCGUGGGGAGCAAACAGG
rnacentral:rRNA from 1 species